rnacentral:ncRNA from 1 species
CCACGUCCCGACGCACUCCCCCCGGCGCCGGGACUUCCCGAGCCGGGCUCGGUGCCUCUCCCCCGAGGCGCCGGGUCCGGCUCUUUC